CGCGUGUGGGAGAAAGGGAGGAGCUGAUGAGAGAGAGUUGUCUCCGUUUCUUCAACGAAGAUAAACUGAAGCUCGCAAUUUCAUCAUCGACUCUCUGACUUUGAGACAUCGUUUGACUCAUUCAAUAUUGGGACGACGAUCCCCAGAUAUCGGAAAGAACGAAGAAAGAGAGAAACAGACAAACAGGCCACUAAGAAGAUUCUGCAGAGGCCAAUCUGCGGGGGACCUUAGCUUCUGCAAAUUCACUUUUGUUUUAAUGGCCGAAAGGAUGCAUUAGACCUCUCUCUCUCUCAAUCUUUUUCGAGGUGGAUUUUGUUCGCGAGGAGGAGCAAUUCAUUGAUUUGAGGUUUUCUUUGUGGUAGUAUGCGAAUUAAUGCAGCUUCUCAAUUCUGGGACUUGGUUUUGUCUGAUAUCAUUGGAAUCCACUGUUAUAGGCUUUGGUUGAUUGGUUUUGAAUGGUUUGGUGAGAAAUAAGGGGUGAUUAGUUCAUUUUGUUGAUGAUGAAGAGGUGAGAAGAUUGGAAGCUGGAUUGUUUUGGGGGGAAUUUUUGUUUAGGAGCUUGAAAUGGAUUUGUUUUGUUGGAUUUUUCAUUUUGGAGGUUGAAUAGAGGGGUUUAAAUUUAGGAUGGAUGGAUCUCAGGGCAGCUCCAAUGUGCCACCUCCUUUUCUUACGAAGACGUAUGAGAUGGUGGAUGACCCAUCCACCAAUUCAGUUGUCUCGUGGAGUCCAAAUAACAGAAGUUUCAUUGUGUGGAACCCUCCUGAAUUUUCAAGAGAUUUGUUACCCAAGUACUUCAAGCACAAUAAUUUCUCCAGCUUUGUCAGACAACUUAACACAUAUGGGUUCAGAAAAGUUGAUCCUGAUCAGUGGGAAUUUGCAAAUGAGGAUUUUAUAAGAGGUCAAAGGCACCUUCUGAAGAAUAUCUAUCGGCGCAAGCCAGUCCACAGCCAUUCUCAACAGAAUCAAGGAAAUUCUACUGGCUUAAGUGAAUCAGAAAGGCAGGAUCUUGAAGAGGAAAUUGAAAGGCUGAAGCAUGAGAAAAGUAUGCUUGUUAUGGACCUACAGAAGCAUACACAGGAGCAUCAAGGAAUUGAGCUGCAAAUGCUGUCCUUGGAGCAACAUUUACAUAAAUUGCAGCAUCACCAGCGGCAAAUAAUUUCUUUCUUGUCUCAAAUCCUUCAGAAACCUGGUUUUGACUCCAAUCUCAUGCAAGAGCCAGAAAACUACAAGAAGAAAAGAAGGUUGCCUAAACUUGACUACUUAUAUGAUGAAGCUGAUGUAGAAGAGAACCAGGUAUUGACCUUUCAGAAGGAGAAGUCUGAUGUUAUAUCAAUGCCAGUAAUAGACAUUGAACCGUUUGAAAGGUUGGAGUCAUCAUUGAAUUCUUGGGAGAACUUUCUACAGGAUGUUGGCCAAGCUUCUGGUGAGGAAAUGUCUCCUGUUGGAGCAGUUUUGCAGCCUUAUACAGUUGUUUUUACAGAAAUAGAUGCAUCAUCUGGAGAUCCAAACAUAGAUGUCGAAACACAGUCCCCUAAAUUACAUCCAUCUUCGCCUCAUUCAAGAGAUAUUUAUUCCUCUUCAGAAUUGGCAGGAUCUAGAAGUCAUAGUGAAAGCCCUGUUAUCUCUUCUGUUCAGUUUAGUGCAGAUUUACAGUCAAGAGCUUCUGGAAUUGAUAUGAAUUCCAAGCCUGCUGCUGCUUCUGAGGUUCUGGAAUCAAAAGAACAGGUAGUAGGAAUGAAAACUUCUGCAGUGCCAAAAAGGGUGAACGACGUAUUCUGGGAACAGUUCCUAACUGAGACUCCUGGUUCAUCUGACACCCAGGAGGUCCAGUCAGAAAUAAGGGAUACUGAUGUCAGAAAAAAUGAAAAUAAGCCAACUGAUCAUGGGAAGCUUUGGUUGAACUCAAAGCCUGUAGAUUACCUUACAGAACAGAUGGGUUAUCUUACACCAUCAGAAAGAAUGUAAUGGUGGUUUUUUUGUUAAGUUCAACUUCUUGAUGUUUUAGGGGCCGAGUGUAUUAUUAAUUUUACAUAGAGGGACCAUUACUUGAUGCAAUGUAUAAUCUUGGGCUGGAAAGCAUGAGAACAUGGGUGUGAGUCUGAGAAUGGUCACUUUGUGCAAAAACAUGCUGGAUGGUAGGUCCGCAGACCACCCCUCCCAAGACUCUGUAAAGCUGGAAGAAACAUUGUGCAAUGCUGUUUUUAUUAGAUGAUUAUGAAAGUCAUUUUAUCUGUUUACGGUUGUAUCAAUAUCAAUCAGUUGGUUGCAUUGAUUCCAUUUCAAAAUCAUACGAAUCAGCAAAGGCUAUUAUUGGUAUGUACCUAUAGGUGGGUACAUUGACAACUUCAGCACUAACUGUAGAAAACAUAGAGUUGUUUGUGCAGUUCUACAAAAUUGAUCGUUGUACUGGUGUAAGGAGUUUAUUCUGAGGGAAAAACUAUCUUUAUGAUUUUGAAUUGAAAAAUAUCAAGUAAUACCUUUGCAUAUGCCA